UUUCGAAGCCAGUCCAUCAUAUACCAAACCAAACCAGUCUCCAAGAGUAAAUUCUUCCUGGACAAGAAUGGUUAGUUAGCAUGUAUUCAUAACAGAGCCAUUUGUUGGAAGUACACGAGUUCAUGGCCUGAAAACUGGUCCAAACUGCCUUUGUAACUCGAUUUGCCCAACGACAACAACGGCAUCCGAUGCCGGCCAAACCGGAUUUCUUCCCGGUCUAAAUAUUUUCUCGGCGUGGCGAGUCGAUUGUCUGGAAAUCCUCACUUACUUUAAGUCUUCCCACCAGGACAUUUCGUCACUGUCACCUUCACCUUCGUGCUUGUUGGUUUACUUUUCAACCAUCAUCGCCAUGAUUGAAACCCGCACUGGACAGGAUUGUAUUCUGCCCGUUCUCCCCGGAGACGUCAAGGAGAAAAAGGAACUUGUUCCCUCCAACAACCAUGAUCAAGAUAUGGUUAUUCAUUGCGAUCUCUAAUCAGGAUGAGCCUUGGAGAAGAGUUCGAACCACUUUCGCUCUGCCCUGAACCAAGAUGUUGGUGACAAUUGAAAUACAAACUUGAGCCUAAAUGUGA